AUGAACGCUGGCGGCGUGCUUAACACAUGCAAGUCGAACGAAGCACUUUAUUUGAUUUCCUUCGGGACUGAUUAUUUUGUGACUGAGUGGCGGACGGGUGAGUAACGCGUGGGUAACCUGCCUUGUACAGGGGGAUAACAGUUGGAAACGGCUGCUAAUACCGCAUAAGCGCACAGCAUCGCAUGAUGCAGUGUGAAAAACUCCGGUGGUAUAAGAUGGACCCGCGUUGGAUUAGCUAGUUGGUGAGGUAACGGCCCACCAAGGCGACGAUCCAUAGCCGACCUGAGAGGGUGGCCGGCCACAUUGGGACUGAGACACGGCCCAAACUCCUACGGGAGGCAGCAGUGGGGAAUAUUGCACAAUGGGCGAAAGCCUGAUGCAGCGACGCCGCGUGAGCGAAGAAGUAUUUCGGUAUGUAAAGCUCUAUCAGCAGGGAAGAUAAUGACGGUACCUGACUAAGAAGCAUCGGCUAAAUACGUG
rnacentral:rRNA from 1 species